AGUGAUAGGGACUAUACACGAACUGUCAACCGCGUCACCUCAAAGUUUCUAAAUAAUUUUUGCAAUGUCUCGUAUAGUGAAAAAGUUUAAAAUUAGGUAGUGAUACAUACCAAUGGUUUCAAAGAUGAACGGUGAGGAUGACCAUUGGUCUCUUUACUCAGCUUCCCAACACCUGCCCGCUGUUUUAACAGAUCCCAACAAGGGAAAACAAGCAAAUUUUUUUACCAAGACUUGGGGAGAUACUUUUGUGGAGAAGUCAGUUAUAGAGAAGAGCCCGUUUUUACCAGAGAUUACGUGGGCACAUUUUGAAGGAUACUUAAAAAAAUAUGGAAGACGGUAUAAGAAACACAAUGAUAGUAAGAAGAUAAAGUUUGAGAAUAAUCAUACAAAAAUCAAAACCCCUAGUCUGAACACUGAAGGCAUUCCUGACAUAUAUUUAAGGCAGCAUCUGAAUUUACAUGAUCCAAAAAUAUUUCAAGAUGUUUUUCAGACAAAGAAAACUGAACAUGAACUUCAAGAUGAGCUCAGCCAUCAUUUAGAUAUAGUAGAGGAACAAAUUGCCCAGCAAGUAUCCCAAAAAUCUGGUGCAUUCUUCCAUGCUAUGACAUCCCAUGAUAGUAUUAUGGAGCAAAUGGGCAUUGCUCUUGGGGAAGUAAAAAGCCUGCGAUCUAAAGUACAAAGGGUGGAUAAAGCCUUGGCCAGAGAUUCCUUGAGACUGAUUGGAUUAGCAAGAUCGAAAUCCAACAAUGUGGCUUUGUUAGAUAAAUUAAAAUUAAUGGCCACAGUGUUGCAGACACAACCAACGUUACAGCUUUUGCUGAGUUCUUCAGACUACGUAGGUGCUUUGGAACUUAUAUCCGGGACUCAAGAAGUUUUAGCCAAAGAGUUAGCUGGGGUCACAAGUCUUAGACACCUUCCUUCUCAGCUCAAGGAAAUGCAAAAACUGAUAGACAAAAUGCUAAGCACUGAAUUUGAACGUUACGCUGCCGCGGAUCUUCACAGGCCAUUAGAUUUUGAAAGUGCAGGUGUUUUAGAACCCGAAAGAUUAGUAAGCUUAGUGGCUGGCCUGCUGAGACAAAAUCAUUUGCACUUUUUAGAAGUUUAUAAACAGGAAGCAGUAACAGCAGCUCAAGCCCUUCUUAAACAACUUAUGAUCGAGCAGUUAGCAGAUGCAGAGGAUGAACUCAACGAGCUGACCGGAUCCGGAGAAAUAGCACCAAGUAUGGACGCAGCCCAUUGGUUGCGUGUUAUUAGAUCUGCAAGUGCGGCCUUAACGAAAAUCAUCGAACGUGUGAAAGCUGUUCAUGAUGUCAUUAAAGAAACGGCAGCAGCAAGUGCCGGCCUAUCAUCCUUAGAAACAUCAACAAGCAUAUCCUCCACGCCCACAGAAAAUUUCCUCACACUCGAGGAACACAAUCGUAUAGAAUUAAAAUUACGCGAUCUCCUUAGUUCAGUUUGCGAUUACUGCAACGAGAGAAUCGCAUCUCUAGUCAGUACUCAAUCGGAUAAACAAACAGUAACGUCUGCUCAAGUUAUAGAACUAUCUAAUAUCGUCGAAAGUUUUACGGAAAUGUGCGAAAGGACAUGUGGCGGACGUCAAAGCGCGGCUUUGAAGGCGGCGUUUAAAAUUCAGGCAGGAAAUUAUGUACAUAAGUUUCACACACAACGGAAAAAUAAGUUACAGUUGCUACUAGAUGCCGAAAGAUGGAAAGUGGCUGAGGUACCUUCGGAAAUACAGAUUUUGGUGGAUAAAUUAGCGUCAGGGGAGCCUAUCAAGUCCCUACCGUCUUCUCCGAGCGAAGAAGAUAUAACAACGAACCGUUAUAAUUUAAAACCAUCUCCAUAUAUCAAAAUCGGCACUCAAAGCUACUACACCAUCGGUGCUCUCCUCAUUCUCAUUCGAUUAAUCAGCGAAUACUGUGUUUGUUCCUACGACCUUCAACUAUUGGCUCCUGUGGUAGCCAGAAAUCUGACUGACCUGCUCAAAACCUUUAAUUCGCGAUCCUGUCAACUAGUAUUAGGUGCAGGUGCUCUUAGAACGGCAGGACUGAAGACUAUAACCUCAACUAAUUUAGCUUUAGCAUCUAGGUCUUUACAAUUUUUAGUGUGGAUGAUACCAUUACUUAGGGCACAUUUUAAAACACUCACCAUUGAGGCGUUAAGUGGCUUUGAUUUGGUUGAGAAAGAUAUCGGGCAUCAUAUUCGCCAAUUAGAGACAAAGGUAUUGUCUAUAAUGAAUACGUUAUUAGGGGAUCAGUUGGGCGAAUGGGAUGCUAAACCUCCAGUACCUUCAAAACAGUUUAGGAAUAUUUCGAGACAUCUCAAGAAGUUACAUGAGGCUGUGAGCGCUGUGUUGCCAGAUGAACAGGUGACGGACAUAUACGAGGUAAUCCAUAAAAACUUUAAAAACCGCUUAAGGGACCACUUGGCGAAAAUGAACAUCCAGAACAACGGUGGACCUCAACACGGUGUCGUAACCACAGAAGUAAUAUUUUAUCUCGAAACUAUGAAAAUGUUAAAAGUUUUACCGGAGAAAUAUCAGUCUGAUAGUGCCAUGGAUGAUAUAUGGACCAGGUAGGGAAAGAUUGAUAGGUUUUUGUUAAAGCUGAGGAUACAUUUUAAAAAAGAACUGAGAAGAAAACAUGAUGGUUACCAAUAGUUAGCAUGUAUUAUAGGUAAUUGGCAAUUGUCAGAAUCUAAGGUUUGUUUACAAGGUAUUUUGGACGAGUUAUACAUAAUUGUGCGACAGUGCUUCACCACUGUUGUCUUUUUCUGUUUUUUUAAACUCUCUUUAAAGGUUGUAAUGUAAAUUGAACCUGGAUGGAAAGAAAAGAUGCCCAGAAGUUGGGUAUUAUUGUGGGUAACAUAAAAAUUAACCCAAGGGAAAGUUUAGUCUUGGAAUAUAAGGUAGACGAAGAAUUCUAUGUCUAGAUACGUUCACUAUGCAAUCGGCACUCAUGUAUUUUGAAGAACACAGCGGCGAGCUUUGGGACGUGGGUCUACAGAUCUCUACUUAAAGGGGGAUACUGCUAUCAGAAAGAGAGUAAAAAAGUUGCUUUGUUGCCUGAGAUUAUUAUUCACACAUAAUUUAGAUAAGAACCUAAAAAGUAGAAAAAUAUCAAAAGUACAAAAAGUUCAAUCAUAAAGGUGGAAAUAAUAUCAAAAACAGAAUAAAAAACGCAAGAAUUUUUGAAAAAUUUAAAGUUGCCUAAAAAGUGUACUAUUAUAUUAUAUAGGUGAGACAUGCGAAGAUAAAAUUGUCCUAUAAAAAUAAAUUGUUAGAGGAAAAAUCUCUCGUCUUAAUCCUUUAGUUUUUAGAAAAUGGAAAUUGAUUCGAUUGUCUACCAAUACAAUGAACAACGUACAAAAGAGAGACCCAAAAUGUAACAGAUAACAGGGAUUCGAAAGAAAGGCACUUCGGCGUACUUAAGGACAGAUAUGGAAAGAUAAUCACGAAUUUAAAAAAUAAACUACAGAGAUGGACUGAAUAUAUAUAAAUAAAUUAUAUUCUGACAAUAGAAACAACCCUCUACAAAUAAAGAAUGAAACCAUUCCUGAUUUAUUGAAAGAAGAAAUAGAAAACUCAAUAAUAAAUGCUAAAAAUGGAAAAACAAUGGGACUCGGAGUUUCUACAGAACUAUGAACGAUAAUUUGUUUUUCUUGCAAGAAGCAAAAAGCAAGAGAAAUAGGAUUAGAGAUUAACACAAGAAAAACCAAACUUAUGAAGAUAAAUACGGAAAGAGAAAUGGGAAUAUUCAUUGAAGGAGAAGAAGUAGAAAAUGUACAAACGUUUUGCUCUCUGGGAAGCAUAAUUGACGCUAGCGGUGGAAUAGAAGAAGAAAUUAAUGGAAGGAUAACUAAAGCCCAGAAUGCGUUCUAUAUGCUAAAGAAAACAUGGGAGUGCAAUAAAUUAAAAAGCAAAAUCAAAAUCAGGAGAUUUGAUACAAAUGUAAAGAGCAUUGUGCUAUAUGCAUCAGAAACUUGGAAAUUAGAGAAAAAGAUUAUACAAAAAGUUCAAACAUUUGUACAUAUAUGCCUCAGAAGAAUAUUGAAAACAUAUUGGCCAAAUCGGAUAAGUAACAAGGAACUUUGGAGAAAAACUAAUCAAGAGCCGAUAGCCAAAACGAUAAAUAGACGCAAAUGGAAGUUUAUUGGACACACAUUGAGGAAAAAUGAAGAUGAAAUAACCAAACAAGCCCUGGAUUACCAACCAACUGGAAAAAGAAAACAAGGCAGACCAGUGACAUCCUGGAAAGGAAAUAUUACCAGAGAGCUAGAAAACAACGGGUUAACAUGGAAAGAGGUGAAGGCCCUGCCAGAAACAGAGAUGAAUGGAGGGGGACUGUAGAGGCCCUAUGUUUCAAAUGGAACCAAGAGGACUAAAGUAAGUAAGAAUGAACGAUAAUUAUAUUACAAUAAUAUUUCAUCUUGUCAAAGCCAUAAUAUACAAUACUAGUAUUAUUCCUGAAGAAUGGCUGUUAUCCACAUUCAUUCCAAUACUAAAAACAACUAAUGCAAAAGAAUGUUCCGAUCAUCGAUUUCAUCAAUCUCGUUAGCGAGUCAUUUCCAGCUGGAGAAGAAGUUAAACCAGAAACAUAGAACAUAGGGGCCUAUUAAAAACAUAACUAUGUACAAGAACUAUAUAAGAAACCAAAUACCGAAAUAAUGAAAUUUAACUCAAUCUGUUGAUCAACUAUUGAUUUUUAGAUAAGAGAACGGAAUUGCACACUUUGCUCAUUUGAUAGAUAUAGACUAGAAAACGAGUAUGAUGUAGUUAGUUAAAGUAUGUACAUACAAUGAUUCUUUAGAGAAUAAUGAAUAAACCAUGCUACACCUCUGAAUAGCGCUCAGUAUUUCGGUAUUUAACAUAACCAUUUUUAUAUUUGGACGUGCCAAAGGUAACAAGUCAAAUUUCCUCAUUUCCUGUUGUACAAAUGAAAUUUUUCAUAUUUAACUUAUUACCUUCUACACGUAACAAUAUGUGGCCUUUGAGUGGUAGUGGACCUGUUUCUUUUUGCACACAGUUAGACAUUGGUAAACCAAUGAAUAAUCAAAUUAUAAUUGGUAAACAAAUGAUAAAAAAAAAUCCGAAAAAUGACUUGUUAUCUUUUGCACUGAGGCCGUCCAUUUAUGGACACUUAAAAAAUCUGACGUAAGGUUGGUACAGUUUAAUUACCGUUGCACAUCAUUAUCCAGGUCAGAGAUUUAAGUUGACAUCGGUGCCAAAUUACAAAAAAAUCCUGAAUUCAUUUUAAAUCAAAUAUAUCACGUAACUAUAGUUCUUUCACGCUUUCUUUUCCCAUGCAUGAAAUUAUUCACGAAUUACUUUCAAUAGUAGGUCUCUUUUUCACAGAAACUAGUAUCGCAAAAUUAAGCCGCUUUUCCAUAGAAAUCACAAUAAGGUAAACAAGGAUAAACAAUAAGGAAUGUCUUUAAUAGCUUAUGAAUUUUGACGUUUAUAAUUUUCAAUGACAGUGACAGUUUAUUGGUUUAUUUGCAUUUAUUGUUUAUUUGGUUUUGUAGAUCAAUAAAGUUUUAUUUGUUUAUCAAUAAAGUUUAUUUGGAUUUAUAUUUAUAAAAAAUAAAUAUAAUAUUUCAGUUACAUAAAGGAAGAGAUGCAAUACUGACUUUUGGAUCGCCAGACAAAGACGAGUAUUAGUAAUAUCGUAGUGUUGAUAACUCAAUUUGAAAAAUUUGCAAUUGUAUCACUGUUUGCCCAAAGGUACUAUACAGGGUGUUUCAUUGGGAAACGGAAAUACUUUAAUGGUGAAUUAAUAGAGGUCACCGAGCCGAUUCGAGAUAUAGUACAUUUUUUGCCCUACCGACUUUUAUAACCGAGUUACAGGGUGUUUUAUCGAUUUUGCCCAUUUCUUUCCUAAGCCAUAACUUUUGAACCACCCUGUAUAUUUUUUUGAUAUUUGGUACACAUAUGUCUCAUUCAAAACCCAAACGACCGACAUACUAACCAUAAGAAAAAUCCAGAUCCGGAUUAACAAAAAAUUAUAAAGUAAUUGUUACCUUAAAACAACACCCUGUAUAUUGAAAUUUUGAAAAUCUGUUUGCAUAUUUGAAAAGAGCACAAAAAAGUAAGUUUAAUGGUUCGCUUCAAUUUUUUUGGCCAGACAAUUUUAUGACUUUAAUUUUGAAAUUAUAUUGAAUUUUUUAAGAACUUUGACAUUAAAAAGCAGAUAUUAUUAACUUUUAGUUAUACAAUAUUAAAGUUAAUGAUUAAAUACUCAUUCUAAAAAUAAUCAAUACUUAUUUACCACAUUGGAACGACCCAAUUACUAAUGACAAGAAAAAUCCAGGUCCGGAUUAAGAAAAAAAUACAAAGUAAUUGUGACCUUGAACCAACACCCUGUAUAUUGAAAUUUUAAAAAUUUGUCUGCGCAUUUUAAAAGAGCAUGAAAAACUGUGAUUAAGGGCUUAUUUUAAUUUUUUCGCCGUUUAUUUAAUUACAUCAAUUUUGAAAUUAUAUUGAAAUUUUAAAGAACUCUGAGAUUAAAAACCAGGUAUUGUUAACUUUUAAUAAUAAUUUAAUGUUAAUGAAUCAAUACUUAUUUUAAAAAUACUUAAUACUUAUUUACUACGCUGGCUUCAUAGAUUCUCUGGAUUUGUAGCUAUAUGCACAUCAUUAAAAAUUAGAAUUGCGAGAAUUGGGAUAUAUAAAUGAUUUAGAAAAUACACAAACAAAUUUUCAAAAUUUCAAUAUACAGGGUGUUGUUUCAAGGUCACAAUUACUUUAUAUUUUUUUCUUAAUCUGGACCUGGAUUUUUCUUGUCAUUAGUAAUUGGGUCGUUCCAAUGUAGUAAAUAAGUAUUGAUUAUUUUGAAAAUGAGUAUUUAUUGAUUAACUUUAAUAAUUUAUAACUAAAAGUUAAUAAUAUCUGCUUUUUAAUGUCAAAGUUCUUAAAAAAUUCAAUAUAAUUUCAAAAUAAAAGUCAUAAAAUUGUCUGCCCGAAAAAUUGAAGCGAACCAUUAAACUUACUUUUUUGUGCUCUUUUCAAAUAUGCAAACAGAUUUUCAAAAUUUCAAUAUACAGGGUGUUGUUUUAAGGUCACAAUUACUUUAUAAUUUUUUGUUAAACCGGACCUGGAUUUUUCUUAUGAUUAGUAUGUCGGUCGUUUGGGUUUUGAAUGAGACAUAUGUGUACCAAAUAUCAAAAAAUAUACACGGUGGUUCUAAAGUUAUUGCUUGGGAAAGAAAUGGGCAAAAUCGAUAAAACACCCUGUAACUCGGUUAUAAAAGGCGGUAGGGCAAAAAAUGUACUAUAUCUAGAACCGGCUCGGUGACCUCUAUUCACCAUUAAAGUAUUUCCGUUUCCCAAUGAAACACCCUGUAUAUUAAAAAUAUUACCUAAUUGUUUUUUAUGUAAUUUACUCAAUAGUUUUGCAUUUCUCAACCUUAGGUAAUAUUAAAUCUUCUUAACAAUAGGAACUUCGUUGUUGUGACUUUUUUAAAUUCAUUUAUUGCCGUUCUAUACUUAUCUUUAUAUUAGUAAUAGUCUGUAUGGGGUUCAAGUUGUUUAAUGUUGAGUCCAUAAAUCUCCUCAAUAGUGAAAAAGAUUAAACACUUCAAUAAAAUAACUUUAUAAAAUACGUACACGGGAUAAUAGCCAUUUCUUAAUUAUUACCACUCUGAUAUUAUGUAUCAAUACUACACAUCGACGUACGUUUCGCUUUAUUUUUUGAUUUAACUUGUUUGAAUAUGAAUCGUGACGCAUGGGAAAAGUUACGAGUGAAAGAACUAGAUUGCAGAAGUGCAAUACAACAAAACAAUUUAAUAUGCUAUUUAACAAUGUAAAUAAAUAAACCCAUCAGAAAUAGAAAACAAAAAUUAAGUAAUAAUCUUACUUUAAAGUAAAUAAUAAAAACAAUAAAUAUAAUUAAACCCAUAUUUAUAGUAAAUAAUAAAAACAAAUCUGAAGUGUCAACACCGCAAGUGUCAAAUAAGUGUUACCAAUUUAUACCAAAAUGUCACCUUCGUCCGAUCACUGUUAAAGUAGUGUAGUUAGGACAAAAUAUGCUUUAUAAUCCAUUUAUACAAAUCAAUUGAAACAAGUUAUGGAGUAUUUCUUUAAGUUUACAUUAAUAGAAAUCUUCAAAUAUUAUUUCUACGCAAAUACAUAUAAUAACAUAUAGUCCGUCCGCUAUAACUUUUCCCAUGCGGUACGAUUAAUUUUCAGUCAAAUUAAGUCAAAACAUAAAUUGAAACGAACGUCGAUGUGUAUAUACAAUUUGUAUACUGUAUACUAUAUACUACAUAAAUCGGCGUACGUUUCACUUUCUGUUUUGACUUAAUUUGAUUGAAAAUGAAUCGUACCGCAUGGGAAAAGCUAUAGCGGACGGACUAUAUGUGUAUUGGCUGUAACUCCAGUGUACAUGGUUAAAAGAUUCUAUUUUGUGUUGGUAUUAUGUGAUGUCACUUGCUAUGACGCGGGUGACGUGCAACGGUAUUUAUACUAUACGAAUCAUAGGUGGAAUAAGCGACGUAAUUGCUCGUAUAGCUCGUUUAAAACUUCUUGUAUACUCCGCGAAAAUUAUAGAGAAAAAUAAUAAAAUUUACGUUAAUUUCAGUCCGUUUCGGUCUUGAUUUGUGAUACUUUGUCAUUCUAUCUGUAUAUUUUUUUACAUUUUCCAAAAAUUACUAGGUACAUAUAUAGAUAAAAAUGCUUGUUGUUUUUAUAUGUAAGUAUAGUUUACACGUUUAUGUGUUCAUGAGGUUUGUGGUGGCUAGAUGGGCUAAAUUUUAUAGGGUGAUACAAAACGUAUAUUUUACGAUUUAAUAUCUUUUAUUGCCUUGACGUUGAAAGUAGGUAUAACAAUUACAAUUAACUAAAAAGAAUAUGCUUGAAGCAUUGGCUUAUUUAUAAUUUGUGUUUACAAAACAUUUAUGUAAGAUGUAUAAAAAAUAAGUGUUGUUUGUCCAAAUCGAUCUCACGGCCUCGUUGAAUAAUGUCCCAUCUCUUUGCACGGGUUGCAUUUUCUACGUUCAUACAAAAACUAAAAAAUAUUAAAAGUAAAAGUAAAAAGUAAAAGAUGAUUUUGCUUGUUUUCGAUUCAGAGGGAUGCACAAUCGCCGGACAGCUGUUUCCACUGUUUCAGGCUUUAUCAACAGCGCUAGCGUGCACUCCUCUGAAUCGAAAAACAGCUCGACCAUCAAUUUAAGGGAAAUUUUAAAGAUCAUUGAAAAUUCAAUUUGUUAAAAAAUAUUAAUUUAUUUAAGUGACAGUAAAGCUUGUCACGUACGGGGAGCUAUACUAUAAUAUAGGUACAGUGAUGAGUGCAUUAAGAAUAUACAAAAUAUCGCAAAAAAAAUGAAAAUAUAAUACGUUUUGAAAUAAAAAGAGGUGAAACUAGUAGAAGUGAGAAAUGGCGGUAUAGAAACCAUUAUAUGGAUAGUUUCCCACCCUUAGACGUAUCGGAGGAGUUUGAUAACUGCCACUGUGACAGAAAUUUUUUAUAAAAUUCUCCUGUUUGACUCCGAUGCGUCUAAAGGUGGGAAACUAUCAAUAUAAUGAAAAUUUAUGGUUUAUAUAAACACAAAUGCCACUGCACAAGCAUUCUGCUUCAAGUGGUAUUUGUGUUUAUUUAUAGGGAAUUAUAAUGAUUUUAAUGUAUUACUAUUGUAAGUUUGUAUCUUUUCUUUGAAUAAACAUUAUUAUUAUAUUUAUUAAAUAACACCAUUUCCCACCUGUACUAGGACGUUGUCGGAAUCAUACCUUAAGAGAUACGAAAAAAAGUUAUUUAGAUAAAAGUUGGGGCACAGCUCGGACCAUAAUUUAAAAAUAUUUUCAAAUAUACAGGGCCACUCGCAAUGACAAACUUAUGUGUUUUUUUAAUGGAACACCCUUGAUAUUUUUACAUUUUUGAAUUCUCCUCAAUGUCUUCUUUCAUAAAAUAUAAGUUUCUGCAAUGUUAUACGUGGUAGUUUAAAGGAUAAUUACGUUUUUUUAAAUUAUUUCGUAGCAACAUUCACACCCUGUAGAAUUGUAGUGAUUUGACAUAAAAAUUUCUAUUUGUGUUCAAACGAUUUUUAAUAUAGUCUACUAUUUUUGAAAAUAUUAAUCUGGCGAAAUGUUUCAUUUUAGUUUACAGGGUUGGUCGAAACUCGGAAUGAGUAUUUUUUGAGUUUUCUUAAAUGGAACACCCUGUAUUUUAUUAUUGUAAUGAAAUGAUAUUUUAUGGUACCUUUUUAUUUCUUAAGCAUUCCCUAUACCCAACUGCUUUAAUUUGUGAGUUAUUCGUGAUUCUUUAAGCCAAACAUUAAGAGCAACAAAAAUUACGUGAAAUUUUAUUAGGUUGGCCGUGAAAAUAUUCAAUCAAAAAUAAUUACAAAAAAAAAUACAUAUUAAUCUAGAUUUCCUUAAUUUAAUAAUAUUGGAUGAUAUAUCAAAAUACAUAUAUAGUUAGGAUUGUUAGUGCGUAAAAUAUGAAUAAAAACAUAUAAUAUUCUACCUAGUUGAUUAUGACACUAAAGUUUAAAAAACAUGUGACAUUAUACUAUUUUUAUAGUUUCAGUUGCUUUGUUACCAUUACUAAUAUGAAUUUUGCACUAAAUAUAUUGUACUAAUGUUUUUUUUUGCAUGAACGUAGAAAAUAAUGUUCUUAUGCUUAUCGUUAUUUAUUUACUGAUUGUGUUUUUAAUGAUAGCUUACUUAUUUAUUAUAUCUUAUUACGUCCAAAAUAAAUAAUUUAUAAACAUUUACAAUGAAAGGACACCGCACACAUCUUAUGGAAAAUAUAAUGUCACUCAAAUUCAAUAAAAUUUAUGUGAAUAGAUUCGUUUUAAAUUAAAGGUCAAUUCUUAUCAUUGCGCGAACUCUUAAUUUUGAUUAAUUACGGCGCAAAUUGCAAUUAAAGUUGAUCGAAAUCACAUUUUUGGAGUUCAUAAAUGUGUCAGUUACAAUCACUAUUGCUCUGGGUGCCGUCAAAGAAUUCCUUGACGAUAGCCUAUGAACUAUUUUACACUAUUUUAUUUUUUAUGUAUAAAUUGUUUUGUGUAUACAAAGUCUAAAAUGUCUAAAAAUGUUAGUCUAAAUAUGUUAUUUUAUAAUAUGUGUUAGGUGUUAGGUACCUAUAAAAAAUUGUGUAGCUAAACAAUGUUAGCUUGUAACAGUUAUAUUACUGUAUAUGACCUGUCCUAUACAUUUGUAAAAAUGUCUUAAAAGGAUGAAUACAUAUUUCUAUUUCUAUUUCUAUUUCUAUUCAAAACAGCUUAAACCCCGCUGGGCCUAAUCGGAUUAGUGAAACUAAUCCGCUGAUUUAUGGAGUACCAAUAAUUUGGGUAUUUUAAAAUAUGUUUUCUCUCUCUAACUUAUGUACGUACCCAUUUGAUUUCAGAUUUAUUUAUAUCAAUUUCUGCUCUUAUUAUUGAAAAUACAGAGUUGGCGCAAUGAUAAGAAUUUACCGUUAAUUUGAAACGAAUCUAUUCAUAUAAAUUUUAUUGAAUUUUGUCCUUUGCUUCAGGAAAGCAAUGAUUGAAAUUGGGGUUAAGAACCAUUGCCACAAUUUUCACCAGUAUUAUCAUCAGUAGCAGUUUUGAGUCCACUGCUGAGCAUAGGCCUCCAAUAAAUAGCCCCUUUGCUUUCGGUUUUGUGCACCUUGAAUCCAGUUGUCUUGGAUGCGCUUGAUGUCGUUCCACCAUCUUGUUGGAGGAAAUCUUCGAUUACGAUACACAUAUUGUUCAAGUCUCCAUUCUAAAAUGUUCUUGGUCCUUCUUCCAUCUCUGACAUUAUCAAAAUGACCUGCCUAGUUCCAUUUCAGCACUGUAAUUCUUUUAACUAUUUGAUUUGAAACUGUUUCUGUGGAAUAUAUUCAACAUUGAGCUUUCCAUUGCUCUCUGUGCCACUUUUAUUUUAUUACUUUUCUGGUAAGGAUCAGUGUUUCUGCUGCAGGUAUAGACUUGUUCGAUUUGUGUGCCAUAUUGUGUUUUAGAAAAGUCAAUUUUAAGCUUAACUCGUGUACAAGGGCUCUGAAGGUCUUGAAGAAAUUGGCAUCCUUGAUCUACUCGGACUGUAAUAAGGACUAUAUCGUCUGGAAACCUCAAGUUGUUCAGAAACUAUUCAUUUAUGCUGGCUCCAAUGUUUUGUCAAUUUUUCUUUCUCAUAGCCCUCUGCAAUAAAGCGGUGAAUAGAUGACGUCCCUUUGCCUAAUACCCUUCUCCAAGGGAAAUGUGUUUGUGCCGCCUUAGUAUAGUCUGAAUGCAGAUGCUGCACUAUUAUAUAUAUUUCGAAUGAGAGUUGUAUACCUAUGAUCAACACCGCACUAUUUACGUGCUCUUAACUUUCUCUAUUUAAUGGACUUUAUUAAUUCUAGGUGGUCAUUCGUUCCAAAGCCACUCCUAAAUAACGGUUUCACACGGUAUCAUCAAGCUUUUAAUACCAGCAACAUAGUUAAUUUUUAUGUAUUACAUAAUCUAGUGUGAAUUAGUCUACUUUUCUCAUAACCGUUGAUUUCGUGCUUUUUUAAUUUUGAUUUGGAUGUACGUCUUUCCAAAUAUUCUAUUAAUGUCACUUCAUAAUCUAGCAUUCGUUUCUAUUAUAUUGUUAGUAUCAUACCAUUGAGCCUUGGUUAUGAUUCUGAGAGCUUUGUUCUGGAAUCUUUGUAUGAUUUCUGAUUAUCACAAUUGGAUGCCAGAAGUCCAUAUUGACUGUAAUAUGGCCUUGUAUAUAUCAUGGGCUUACUGGCUUACAACCAAAAGGCAAUAAGUUAAAAUUUUAGCUUUUGAGAUAAAUGGAUCUGAAAGUGAAAGUUUGAACACUAACGAUAAUUCAUACAGACAUAAUAAGCUAUUUGGAAUAUUAAAUACUUGAAGAUUAUUUUAAGAGCAAGUAUUUCAAAUAGCUUAUUAUGUCUGUAUGAAUUAUCAUUACUGUUCAAACUUUCAAAUCCAUUUAUCUCAAAAUUAAAAAUUUUGACUUAGUGUCUUUUGGUUGUAAGCCCACGAUAUUAUCCUUGUUUGGUGAUUUAAUUGUGAUCUUUCGGUCAAUAAGCCGUUAGCGCUGUUUCACAUUAUAAGAAUUUAAACGUGCGAGGGUUAGAACGCACGACGACAUUCCUAUGGUGGCUCAUGUAAGCAUAUGGAGCCUUUCUCACUAGUCAGUGGUUGGAACGUUCGGUGAAGUCGCCGUGUUUAUGCCGUCCCUUGCUACAACAACAGACGGCAGCCGUGCCGUCUUUACGCACCCAGUAGUAUAGAGGACUUAAUGCAUCCUUUCAUAUUAUACUGUCAUUCAGCGUUCAGUCGCACGAAGAUAGUUUCCUUGGUUGUUUGGUACAUUAUUUUAAUUUACACUUUAUGGCUGUUUGAAGUAGGUGCAUAUAUUUUAUAUGAUGUCUCAGAUUGAUAGUGAAAUAUUAAUAACAUUGAUUGAAGCGAGACCUGUUCUUUGGGACAAAACAAUAGAAAUAUAUAAAGAUAGAAACUUGACGAGAAAUGAUACGAAAUUAUAUUUAGUUUUAUAGGGUAAACGACUCACGUCUCACGGUUACGUCUUGUGUGAAAUUAUCUAAAAACAACAUUUAAAACGAGUGGAACAACAUUUAAAAACGAGUGGAUAACAGAGGGUCUUUUAAAUUAUGUACAUGAAAAACAUAGAUUGUAAUGUUGUUCUGAAGCUAUUUCCUUGUGGCAUUUUUGUAGCAAACUAUUCUAAAUGGGAAAUAAGCCACAAUUUAACUAAAAAAAUGAUUUUAUUAACGUUUCGACGCCCGAUGUCGAAAAGGUAAUCAAAUAAUUUUUUUAGUUAAAUUGUGGCUUAUUUCCCAUUUAGAAUAGUUUAUUACAUAGAUAGUAUGAGCUAAUUAGAUGAGCUAAUCCAAGAUCCCACAAAUAACUUAGUAGAACAACAAUUAUAAAAAUUAAAGACAAAUUAAGACUUAGAAAUUGCAAAUGAAUUAAAUACGAAUUACAGUACAUAAGGACAAAAGUAUGGACAAAAAAUACUGAUCUAUAAUGAUAUUUCGUAAUGAUGCAUAUCAGACAUCGUAUCAUAUACCUACCUCAGCCACAAAGUGUAAAUAAAAAUAAUAUACCAAACAACACAGCAAAAUAUCUUCGUGCGACUCAAUUCUUAUUGUGUGAAAAGGAUAGUUGCUUCAAAACUACCGCACGAGAAAACACUCGCACGUUUAAAAUUCUUAUAAUGUGAAACGGCCCUUAAGUUGUUAAUUGAAUAGGGAUGUUCACUAAUUUUUAAAUAUAGUUAAAUUCAAUAGAUUACAAGGUAUAUAAAAACGUAACAAUCAUAAAACUGUUUAAAAAUGUAUAUUUUUUAAGAUAAAUGAGUUCAUAAUGCUGAUUUUCUUGGAGGCUAGAAAAACGGUACCCUGCAGCGAGGCUACGGUCUGUGACGUCAGCAGUCGUAACGUUUUUGAUCGACGACUAGUUUUGUAUACUUAUUUACGAUUUAUUUAUUAAAAAUAAUUAAAAAUGAAGCCAAAUAAGUGGUGUUUUGUUUCUGGGUGUGUAAAUACAUCAAAAAACAGUUCUGACAAGAUGUUUAUGACCGUUCCAGCCAAUUUAAAAGAGAAAAAGAAAUGGUUUGUUGCAGCUAGAACUUAAAAUAACUAACUUAAAGAACUAACUUAAUAAAAUAAACAUUAUAGAAGUUUUCCAGAGACUUUCGGCCCUUGGUAAUAAUGUAAUUGUUCUUUCUGCAUUUACAUUUUUCAAAAAUACGUAUUAGUUUUCUCAGAACUCGAAAAAAAUUAAUGAAUUAAAAUAGCAUUAGACCAAGAUUUUGCACCUACCCCCUUAAGGAGUAAAUGAAAAAGUUUCGGGACCUCAAAUUUGUAUUCCUUAAACUGGGAUAUUCCUAAAAACGGGAUUCUAAUAAAACAUACAGUAAAAGUAAACCUUGAAAUAACUACAUGUGGAUGUAGGUAUGACUUUAUAUUACAUUAAAAUCAUUAAUAAUUUAGUGAAAAGAUUGGUUGAAAUGAAAAUGUAUAAUACCCAAGUUCAAAAAUAUUUUUUACCUUGGAUCUAGAGUUGAAAAGGACAGAGCAACAUUUAACAACAUGCAUCAGAAAUAUUUUCACCCAUUGCGACAUAAUAUCUCUCUCACUAAAAAUGGGGCUGCUAAAAUGUUAUUAUUUCCGGUCUUGCUAUAUGGCGCAGAGGCCUGGACAAUAAUGGAAACAUUAAUGAAAAAGCUAGAGGCAUUCGAGAUGUGGGUGUACCCAAGUAUCCUCAGAAUAUCCUGGCGACCCACACCAACGUACAGGUAUUGCGUCGAAUGGGAAAACAAAAAGAAAUCUCUUUUACAAUUAAGAAACGAAAUCUUAAAUAUUUCGGUCAUCUCAUGGGGCAUAAUAAAUAUCGUAUACUCCAACUGAUAACGCAAAGUAAAAUAGAGAGCAAACACGGACCCGGAAGAAAAUACACUCAUGACUUAAAAACUUACGCCAAUGAUUUGGACAAAAAUCGAUCGAGUUAUUCAGAAACGCCGCAAUGAAAUUAAAAUUGCCAUGAUGAUAGCCAACGUCCACAACGGACAUGGCACAUGAAGAAGAAUAAAAAUAUUUUUAAUACACCUAACCAAGGUAAGGUAAUAACCAGCCAAUGUAUGUAUACAAUAUGCAUGCAUACAAUGCAUGCAUACAACUUUCUCUAUUUUUUUUGUGGAGUAUUAAGCAUCUAUUUUUUUAGCUUAAAGAAGACAUGGAAAAUUAUAUGGAAUAUACACUCAGUAAAGCUGUGGUAGAUUUAUUUUUUUACAAGAUGCCAAUAAAUCAUACACCAUUGUUACAUCUACACUACAGUCGGUAGUUGAUCCGAAUCGGCUUUCUGAAAACCUUCCAUUUUAUUUGUUUAUUUUUGUACCACCCAAAACAUGUCCUUACAAACAGUCUACCCACUUUAAACUAAACAAAUUCACUAUAAAACUCCACUUUAACCCUGAUAAAACAAGAAGAGAACAAAAUAAAAUGACCUGAAACGUCAAACAGGUAAACAAUAACACUAUGAGAAUGGCGCGCGCUUGGGGUAUGCAACUAGUGACGUCAGGCCAAUAGAGAAGCGUUCUUGAAAUUUAAAAUAAUGCUAGAUUUCUAAUAAAGAUUUUUUAUAGAAAGGCUUUUUCAAUUUUGUUGAAAUUUUGGGCAAUUAUUCCUAGGGUGUUUCUUCAUCGUUUUACAUGUUUGAAAUGACUUUUUAAUUUUUUGUGAACAUCCCUAUUGCCAGUUAUUUUCGUUUUGAGAAUGUAUCUGAUUUCUAAGUUAAUAUUCUGGUAAGAUGUAAACCUAAGUACUUAACUUCAUUUUUUCGAGCAAUCAUUUGACAAUUUAGUAACACUGCUAAACAUUUAUCUCUUCUUGUUGUAAAUGUGACUUUAUUUUUGACCAAGGACUGCAGUGGUAGAUCUGUGGUGAAAAGAAAAAAAAACUGGACUUCAACUUACAUAGGUUGGAGGGCCAAAAAUAAUUGACAGUUAAGGAAAGAAGUAAAUUCUUAAUGUGUUACAUUUUAAUGUGUUCAUUUACGCAGUAGUCACUUUUACUUCUUUUAUAUACUAAUAAUUGACUUUCGAAAAAUCGAGCAAUUUUAUAAUUUUUAAAUGAAUUAAGUAGUGUGUUUUCGAAGUUAACUUCGUCUUUCGAUAGUUUUUUGUAAGGCAAGUUCUUACAUAAUUAGAAGAUAAAAGUGUAUAACGUAUUUUUGGUUGUUCAUAACAGUAAAACAAGAUAACUUUAGUUUAAUCGGUGACCAGCCUUUAAAUCUUGGAGUUUGAGUUGAGAUUACCUCGAUAGUGAACACAACGCAAACAUUUAAACAUAAAUGGCAGGACAUCACAUAUCUCGCCGCUCCUAUUAUUGUAAUAAUUAGAUGAAAUGUUUAGAUAUCAUUUAUUUUGUCUAAAUAUUCGAAUGGAAUAUUUAAAAGAGUUCUUUUUCAAAGUCUGGCAGAACAGAACGUGAUUAAAAUAAAGAAAGAUAUUAAAUUUGCAUCUAUUGUUUAUUAAAAAGCAAAUAUAAAAGCUGCAAUGCAGCUGUUAACGUAGAUAUUUAUUUUUAUAAAUUAAAAAGGCAUGUUGUUCUGAAGCUAUUUUCUUGUGGCAUUUUUAUAAUCAAGUAUAUUCAAAUGGGAAAUAAGCCACAAUUUUAGCUAAAAAUGAUUUUAUUAACGUUUCGACGCCCAAGUCGAAACGUUAAUAAAAUCAUUUUUAGGUAAAAUUGUGGCUUAUUUCCCAUUUGAAUAUACUUGAUUAAAAAGGCAUAUUUUGAAAUUUAAAUUAUGAUUUAAUGGAACUCCCAUUUAAAUCACAUAAUGUUUUGUAUCAUCCUGUAUAAUACGGAUUAACUGAACUUUUAUCGGUACAUUUCAGUUGGUCCAAAAAAGAGAUUUGUUGCGCUUUUGUAAAUAAGUAUUACUCGAUUUUUAAACAGAUUUUGUUAUAGCUGUCAGAUAGGGCGAUUUGUUAUUUUUUUGUGAAUAAUUUAAGUAUAAAAUACUGUACAUAAUUUUAACUUAUUUUAUAAAGUUGUUAUUUAAGCAAAUAAGCAAAAUAAACGGUGAUAUAAAA